UCUGUCAUACUUGCUCUUUAUACUUAAAAAUACAACUUGGAGAUGUAGAUUCCUACCGGUUCAGGACAACUCCCGCCAGCCGCCGCAUUUUAUACGGAAAGAGACAGUGCCACAGAAAAUAACUGUCCCGCUUGCGGGAUGAGGGUGAAAACGUGAGGUAAGAGCUCACGGCUAUUGCUGGUAACAGUAAUUGCGGGUAAACCUUAUGUGCUGUAAUGCCACGUAUACCAGCGUUUGAGGGCGGCUCGUCCGAGUUGGAGGGUAGGCAGCAAGAUCCCUGCAGUAAUGUAGGGGCCAGAUAAAUGACAGCCGUUUCCCGAUUUAUCGGGAGAUAACAGAAUCCGGCUUAUGGCUGAUAGAAUUU
rnacentral:RNase_P_RNA from 1 species